rnacentral:rRNA from 1 species
GACGAACGCUAGCGGCGUGCUUAACACAUGCAAGUCGAGCGGUAAGGCCUUCGGGUACACGAGCGGCGAACGGGUGAGUAACACGUGGGUGAUCUGCCUCGCACUCUGGGAUAAGCCUGGGAAACUGGGUCUAAUACCGGAUACGACCAGCCUCUGCAUGGGGGUUGGUGGAAAGGUUUACUGGUGCGAGAUGGGCCCGCGGCCUAUCAGCUUGUUGGUGGGGUAAUGGCCUACCAAGGCGACGACGGGUAGCCGACCUGAGAGGGUGACCGGCCACACUGGGACUGAGACACGGCCCAGACUCCUACGGGAGGCAGCAGUGGGGAAUAUUGCACAAUGGGCGAAAGCCUGAUGCAGCGACGCCGCGUGGAGGAUGACGGCCUUCGGGUUGUAAACUCCUUUUGACAGGGACGAAGCGCAAGUGACGGUACCUGUAGAAGAAGCACCGGCCAACUACGUGCCAGCAGCCGCGGUAACAC